rnacentral:rRNA from 1 species
UUCUGGGAGGAUCUGAUCCCAGUCCAGGGCGAACGCUGGCGGCGUGCCUAACACAUGCAAGUCGUACGGAGGAGCGGGAAGACAAAAACGAAGGGUGGUUGUGUUUUGCAACCUUGACUCCCACACUCCCGCUCCUCAGUGGCGAACGGUUGCGUAACGCGUGGGCAACCUGCCCUGGAGACCGGGAUAGCCCGUCGAAAGGCGGGGUAAUCCCGGAUGUGGCCGGUCUGACGCAUGUCAGACCGGUUAAAGGGAGAUUAAACUCUCCGCUCCAGGAUGGGCCCGCGUCCUAUCAGGUAGUCGGUGGGGUAAAGGCCCACCGAGCCGAUGACGGGUAGCUGGUCUGGGAGGACGGCCAGCCAGACGGGGACUGAGACACGGCCCCGACCCCGAAUCCCGGAGGGUAAGAUAUCCGAUAAUUUGGCCCAAACUCUCCGGGAGUAGGGGGCAGCAGUGGGGAAUCUUGCGCAAUGGGGGAAACCCUGACGCAGCGACGCCGCGUGAGGGAGGAAGGCCGCUUAAUAUUUGAAAUUCAAUUUCU